CCCAAUAGAAUCGGCUCUCUCAAGGGUGGUCGGCUCACUCUCUUUUUGCCCUAGAUAAGGGAAAGGGGUUGAGAAUAUGACAGUAUAUGAAGCAAUUUCAUUAAUGAUCGCAUUUGGAUUAUUAAUUGUUGCUAUACUGACAUCCGAUAAAAAGAAAUGACCUCCCUUGAGCCUGGAAACUGAGGGGAGUGUCUAAUCUUCAGUCGAUAUGUGAGCCGACCCUUUGAGGUGAAAGUCUCUUGUACACAUACCGUAAGAUGUUCACGCAUCUUGCG
rnacentral:sRNA from 1 species